CCUACGGGAGGCAGCAGUGGGGAAUUUUCCGCAAUGGGCGCAAGCCUGACGGAGCAAGACCGCGUGAGGGAGGAAGGCCCAAGCGGUUGUAAACCUCUUUUCUCAGGGAAGAAGAAAGUGACGGUACCUGAGGAAUCAGCCUCGGCUAACUCCGUGCCAGCAGCCGCGGUAAUACGGAGGAGGCAAGCGUUAUCCGGAAUUAUUGGGCGUAAAGCGUCCGUAGGUGGUUAUGUAAGUCUGCUGUCAAAGCACAGGGCUUAACCCUGUAAAGGCAGUGGAAACUACAAGACUCGAGUGCGGUAGGGGCAGAGGGAAUUCCCAGUGUAGCGGUGAAAUGCGUAGAGAUUGGGAAGAACACCUGUGGCGAAAGCGCUCUGCUGGACCGCAACUGACACUCAGGGACGAAAGCUAGGGGAGCGAAUGGGAUUAGAUACCCUAGUAGU
rnacentral:rRNA from 1 species